CUCCGCAGCAGCAGGCUGUGCUCUUAUGAAACCCUGCUUAUUCAGUUGUAAUAAUGUGUCGCGUUACUUUGUAAACAUCGUAACGGCCUUACAGAAAUGAGAAAGAAGAAAGCCAUGAUUCUCCUGUAGGCAAAGUGGAGCUCUCUUCCUCCUGUUAUGCUGCCCCUGGUGGCAACGUUAUGACCGGACCGCAGGCGCAGCAGACUAGAGACACCCAGACUUC